GGCCUUUUGAUUAUAAUUUAAGGUCGGGCCUGCCCAAUGAAGAAAUUUAAUGGCCGCGGUAUAUUAACUGUGCAAAGGUAGCAUAAUCAUUAGUUUUUUAAUUGAAAGCUGGAAUGAAGGGUUUAAUGAAAAAAGUUCUGUUUCUGUUUAAAUUUAUUAGAAUUUUAUUUUUAAGUUAAAAAGCUUAAAUAAUUAUUGAAGACGAGAAGACCCUAUAGAGUUUUAUAUUUUUGGAGAUUUUUUUAUUUGGUAAUUUUAAUUUAAUUUUUAAAAGUAUUUGGUUGGGGUGAUUGAAAAAUUAAAGAAACUUUUUUUUUAUUAAACAUUAAUGUAUGAAUAAAUGAUCCUUUUUUUAGAUUAAAAGAAAGAAUUACCUUAGGGAUAACAGCGUAAUUUUUCUUAGAGUUCUUAUCAAAAGAAAAGAUUGCGACCUCGAUGUUGGAUUAAAAUAAGUUUUUGGUGCAGAAGCUAAAAAACUAGGUCUGUUCGACCUUUAAAUUUUUACAUGAUCUGAGUUUAGACCGGUUUAAG
rnacentral:rRNA from 1 species